rnacentral:misc_RNA from 1 species
UCUCCGUAGGUGAACCUGCGGAGGGAUCAUUACUGAGUGAGGGCCUUCGGGCUCGACCUCCAACCCUUUGUGAAUCGUACUCGUUGCUUCGGGGGCGACCCUGCCUUCGUGCGAGGCGCCCCCGGAGGCUCAUCAAACACUGCAUCUUUGCGUCGGAGUUUAAGUAAAUUAAACAAAACUUUCAACAACGGAUCUCUUGGUGCUGGCAUCGAUGAAGAACGCAC